rnacentral:rRNA from 1 species
GAUGAACGCUGGCGGCGUGCCUAAUACAUGCAAGUCGAGCGAACAGAUAAGGAGCUUGCUCCUUUGACGUUAGCGGCGGACGGGUGAGUAACACGUGGGUAACCUACCUAUAAGACUGGGAUAACUUCGGGAAACCGGAGCUAAUACCGGAUAACAUUUGGAACCGUAUGGUUCUAAAGUGAAAGAUGGUUUUGCUAUCACUUAUAGAUGGACCCGCGCCGUAUUAGCUAGUUGGUAAGGUAACGGCUUACCAAGGCGACGAUACGUAGCCGACCUGAGAGGGUGAUCGGCCACACUGGAACUGAGACACGGUCCAGACUCCUACGGGAGGCAGCAGUAGGGAAUCCUCCGCAAUGGGCGAAAGCCUGACGGAGCAACGCCGCGUGAGUGAUGAAGGGUUUCGGCUCGUAAAACUCUGUUAUUAGGGAAGAACAAAUGUGUAAGUAACUGUGCACGUCUUGACGGUACCUAAUCAGAAAGCCACGGCUAACUACGUG